UAGGUGCAAGCCACUUCAAUAGAGGGACCAGAGGGUGCAACCACAGAGCCAGGAAAGAUCAUAACGGCAAAGGCUGUCGGUGGGCUGAUUGUGAGGUCAGAACUAAAAAACAUUUUCAAAUUUAAGUACACAAGGAAGCUGGCUCAGGAAUCAAGUGCCCCAGAAUCAGAGGACUUCACAACAUGAUCUCUUGCGCACUAGACCACCCUGAGUCCCUUGUAGAAGAGAAAGAGAUUGCUCGCUUUCCUAAUGCCCUGUCGACCUUGAGUACAGAGAGAAAGUGUAUCUCAGCUGGAGCAGGGGCUGGCCCAAAGUGUGGCGACACUGAAUCACCAGUCCAGUGAAGAAUACCGAAUCAACCUCAUUUCCCAAUGAGAAACCAUCUCACAGAAAAGUGAAGCCCAUUAGCUGAGGUCCAUGGUUAAAGAGUGAAUGAGUUACUACUGUCAACAGUCUGGUCUUUGCUGAUGUCUGCACUUCCCUUCUCACAUACUGUGCAACCCAGAAGGAAUACACUCUGAAGACUGUCUGGCCAAACCUUGCCACGGAGGAGCUUACGUUUUUGUCACGUGGCUGAGUAGAGGGUCAACUGUCUCAGCCUGACACUUUUGCAUUAAAUCUACUACAUGAAAGGAUAGGACCUGGGUUGAAACAUAAAGGCAACCCUGUUCAUCUCCACCAGGCUUGUUUAAGCAUCAGAGUGACAGGGUGUCAGGGCUGUGCCAUUUGUGCCCACACCUCCUCCAAUGGUGGUAAAAGUGGUUUGAAGGCCUCCAUGGCAUCCUAGAAAUGCAUGCCCACUGUAUCGGGAAAG
rnacentral:lncRNA from 1 species